rnacentral:misc_RNA from 1 species
GGAAGUAAAAGUCGCAACAAGGUUUCCGUAGGUGAACCUGCGGAAGGAUCAUCAAAGAGAGAGAGAGGCUGUGGAGGAAUCCAUGGUUUUUCAAUAGCAGGAGACUGCAAGAUCAAAGAACGUUUGGAAGUGUCGGCAACGAGAGCCAGAGGCAGUGGAUCUCUCGACUCCC